UGUGCCUACCUUUUUUCACCGAGCACACUUAAGACGUGGCACAAAUUCAUCACGGUGAAUGCCCCCGUGAUAUCCCAUAAUAUUCCCCAGGACAACACUCAGAGGAAGUUUUUCCUUUGCGAGGCGAGACAGCAGAGUCUGACCGAACGGCUGAAGUGUGUACACUUAGGUGUGCCUGUAACAUGGGUGGAGAACGGGCACCAAGGAGGACCACUCUCAAAAAAAGACUUGCAGUGCAUACUUUGACUUCUCCAGGCUCUCAUCCACCUGCCGGCUCCUCGUUACAGAUCGCAAUGUUGUCUGCAAACAUCAUAAUUCAUAGAGACUCCUGCCUGACCUUAUCUGUCAGCCUGUCCAUCACCAUUGCACCCCAAAGCAAAACCCACAUCGUUCCGAUAUUCUGGAACUCCUUAGGAUCAGAUACAGGAUCAAACUGGACUCUAUCCUGUUAUUUUUGUCCAGUAUAAAUGAUACAAAAAAGCAUUUCCUGUUAUUCUUUGCUAACCACCAUGUAAUGUGUUUAUGUGUAAUAAAACAUAAUAGCACAUUAAA